AUUGUUAGUGUUGCAUUGUUGAUGACAUUCGAUUCACAAGUCGAAAAUUAAUCCAGAUACUUACAUGAAGCAAGUUCUAUAGUGCAAACUUGAGAAUCUAAAGGAUAUUUUCCCAUAUCCAUCAUGCAGGAGAACAAUAUCGCCAGUAGGAUAAAUGCGAACGAGAACGUUUGGCACAGUCACAUAUUGAAAAUCACCAUGUUUAGCAUUUGGAAAGUAUACAUCGGGUCUCCAUACUCUUUGGAUCAAGUUGGGAUCAUUUAAAUCGAGUGGACGACUGAAAUUAGUGCUUUGCAUUCUCCUGUCCGUCCAACGUUGU